rnacentral:misc_RNA from 1 species
GAUGAAGAACGUAGCGAAAUGCGAUAAGUAAUGUGAAUUGCAGAAUUCAGUGAAUCAUCGAAUCUUUGAACGCACAUUGCGCCCCCUGGUAUUCCGGGGGGCAUGCCUGUCCGAGCGUCAUUACAACCCUCAAGCUCAGCUUGGUGUUGGGCCCCGCCGCCCCGGCGGGCCCUAAAGUCAGUGGCGGUGCCGUCCGGCUCCGAGCGUAGUAAUUCUUCUCGCUCUGGAGGUCCGGUCGUGUGCUCGCCAGCAACCCCCAAUUUUUUUCAGGUUGACCUCGGAUCAGGUAGGGAUACCCGGUGAACUUAAGCAUAUCAAUAAGCGGAGGA